rnacentral:rRNA from 1 species
UACGGAGGGUGCAAGCGUUAUCCGGAUUCACUGGGUUUAAAGGGUGCGUAGGAGGGCAGGUAAGUCAGUGGUGAAAUCUCCGAGCUUAACUUGGAACUGCCGUUGAUACUAUCUGUCUUGAAUAUUGUGGAGGUGAGCGGAAUAUGUCAUGUAGCGGUGAAAUGCUUAGAUAUGACAUAGAACACCAAUUGCGAAGGCAGCUGGCUACACAAAUAUUGACACUGAGGCACGAAAAGCGUGGGGAUCAAACAGG